GAUGAACGCUGGCGGCGUGCCUAAUACAUGCAAGUCGAGCGAACAGAUGAGGAGCUUGCUCCUCUGACGUUAGCGGCGGACGGGUGAGUAACACGUGGAUAACCUACCUAUAAGACUGGGAUAACUUCGGGAAACCGGAGCUAAUACCGGAUAAUAUAUUGAACCGCAUGGUUCAAUAGUGAAAGACGGUUUUGCUGUCACUUAUAGAUGGAUCCGCGCCGCAUUAGCUAGUUGGUAAGGUAACGGCUUACCAAGGCAACGAUGCGUAGCCGACCUGAGAGGGUGAUCGGCCACACUGGAACUGAGACACGGUCCAGACUCCUACGGGAGGCAGUAGUAGGGAAUCUUCCGCAAUGGGCGAAAGCUUGACGGAGCAACGCCGCGUGAGUGAUGAAGGUCUUCGGAUCGUAAAACUCUGUUAUUAGGGAAGAACAAAUGUGUAAGUAACUAUGCACGUCUUGACGGUACCUAAUCAGAAAGCCACGGCUAACUACGUG
rnacentral:rRNA from 1 species